rnacentral:misc_RNA from 1 species
GAAAAAACACCAACUCUCAUAAGUGUCUUCAAAUAUGGCAAAGCAAAAGGGGAUGCAAAUACAUAAUGAUGAAAAAACAAACUGAGUCUUGAACAACACUGCUCUUUUGAACUACUAAUGGAUCUCACAAAUUUGUCUACCUAUAUGAAUCUUGGCGCUUCGGUUUGCUUUGAACAAUAGCUUCAAUCUUCUCCAUCACAGCAGGUGUUAACAUUGGAAUCACAUUGAUAGCUUUCAUGUUCUCUUGAAUC